UGGGAGGCUUUGAAGUGUGGACGCCAGUCUGCAUGGAGCCGGCCUUGAAAUACCACCCUUUAAUGUUUGAUGUUCUAACGUGGACCCGUGAUCCGGGUUGCGGACAGUGUCUGGUGGGUAGUUUGACUGGGGCGGUCUCCUCCUAAAGAGUAACGGAGGAGCACGAAGGUUGGCUAAUCCUGGUCGGACAUCAGGAGGUUAGUGCAAUGGCAUAAGCCAGCUUGACUGCGAGCGUGACGGCGCGAGCAGGUGCGAAAGCAGGUCAUAGUGAUCCGGUGGUUCUGAAUGGAAGGGCCAUCGCUCAACGGAUAAAAGGUACUCCGGGGAUAACAGGCUGAUACCGCCCAAGAGUUCAUAUCGACGGCGGUGUUUGGCACCUCGAUGUCGGCUCAUCACAUCCUGGGGCUGAAGUAGGUCCCAAGGGUAUGGCUGUUCGCCAUUUAAAGUGGUACGCGAGCUGGGUUUAGAACGUCGUGAGACAGUUCGGUCCCUAUCUGCCGUGGGCGCUGGAGAACUGAGGGGGGCUGCUCCUAGUACGAGAGGACCGGAGUGGACGCAUCACUGGUGUUCGGGUUGUCAUGCCAAUGGCACUGCCCGGUAGCUAAAUGCGGAAGAGAUAAGUGCUGAAAGCAUCUAAGCACGAAACUUGCCCCGA
rnacentral:rRNA from 2 species